ensembl:lncRNA
UGUCACCUGCCAAACUUAUUUGACAAAGGAAGUGCAGAUGGGAAUAGGUACAGCCAACUCUGAGCUGGCAUUUCAAAUUUGAAGCAAUUUUGGAUCAGAGGAUAUUUCACAGCCAAGAACUAUUAGACAUCAUUAGUUAUGUGCCAGAUGGACCAUUUUUAGUCUGAAAAGAUGAUUAUUCCCAUUACAUGUCAGUUGCCUCUUUAUGAGUUAAGGUACGGAUAACAUUAAAAUCAUGUGACUAAAACAUCAGGUUGUUUUGUGUGUGUGUGUGUGUGUGUGUGUGUGUUUGAGUUUGAAUGUAAGCCAACAAAGCUCUUUGUGUUCUUUUGUUUUGGGGCGAAUGCUAAAAGCUCCCUGCGAGCAGUGUUCAAAAUGGAAACAAGGGCAACUAUUUCCCCCUUGAAUGCAUGUGCUCUAUGUGGCUUUUAAAAGCAAAGGAGUCAGCGUUUACAGCUUGAAAGACCACAGUUGUAUCAAUACUAGGGAGUGUGCAUGAGAAGGAUUUAUUUUUAUUAUUAUUUUUUUUUUAAUCAAAUCCAGUGUUGUUUUAGUAUUAUUUAUAUGCUACUAUGAUAUUUAUUCAUAUUAGCUUUUAUUUGUAUAUUUUUAGUUUUCAUUGUAAUUUUAGUUAAAGGUUUAGCAAUUGUGUUGUUUAUUAUUAUUAUUUUAAUUUAUUAAUUGAAUUUUCUAAUUUCUAAAGGUUUUUUUUUUUUUUUAUAGUUUAAUUUUAGUUCACAUAGGAUUGACCUGUGUUCUUUGUGCUUCCGUAGUGCCCACCGGAUGCUCCCAAGAGUCGAAGAGCCGCAGAGAACCAGGUGGAGUUUGUACCCAGUCCCUUCACUCAGGAACUGGCAGAAAAAGUAAGUUAUUUGAAUUAUGUCAUCAGAAAACCACUUAUUUUUAUUUGCCAUAAACAGCAACUGACCAUCCCAAUUAUAAAGCUUCAAGCCUGACAAAAAGAAUUGUGGCAGCAGAUUUCACCCAAUAGCUAUAGAAAUUCAGUUUAAUUGGUAAGUAAAUCGCUGCAUGCUGAGUUGCAGUGGGAAGAAUAUUGACACUGACCCUGACAAACCCAUGAGAUAAUUCAUUACUGAUAGCAGAGCAUACUGUGUAAUAUUACACCACCUGGAAUUAGAGGGACUUGCUUUUGCUUGGUAAAUGUGCUUAUCUGGCACAAUACGAGAAUAACGCCCAUGUUUCAUACAUAAAACUCUGUUUGUCACUUUUUCCCCUCUCUGCACCCACUCAACACUCCUUUCACUUCUUUCAAAUAAAAUGCAAGAGCAGAAAAUGUCA